GAGGAGGGUGAGGAGGGUGAGGUGUGUGUGUGUGUGCGAGGAAGGGUUUCUGAUGGUUAAUUUGUUCCUGGUGUAUCUGAGGUGGCGGCGGGAGGGCGGGUUGCUGCUCUGUUGUCUUUGACAGAGGUUGGUCUGAUGAUUGGGGCUGCAGACGAAGAGGAGGAGGAGGAGGAGGAGGAGGAGGAGGAGGAGGAGAUGAAAUGUUCAGGGUAAUCAGGAGUCGUUAGGACUUUUACAGGCCCGGCGGAGGAUCAUGCUGAUGUUCAACGGAAACAUGAGUGAAAUGUUUGAUCAGGGAUCUCACGUCGCCUCU